rnacentral:antisense_RNA from 1 species
GAUGCCUUUAUUGUAUCCAUUUCUGUAUUCGUACCAGCACCUCGCAAAAUAAUUGUCUCAGCAGACUCCCUUGGGCAAUACUUCACAGACAUGACUGUGCACGCCAGUCACCCAGAGAUCAUGUUAAAAUGCACAUCUGGUUCAGCAGGCCUAGGUUUCUGUAUGUUAUAGAAAUUCAAAGAAGACAAACUCUAGCCAAGAGCAGUGUGAAGAAAAGAAGACGCUAUAUUAAUCACAGUCCAGGGAUGCCUUCUGGCUUCCUGGCAGCAAUUCCGGCCUGAGAUUCCUUCUCUGUGCAUACUUCCUGUCAACACUGUGUGAUGUCAAGCUGUAGCCAUCACAAAAGUACUGUGAACACCUGUAAAUCCCAACUAUCAAAAAUCACACCCAGGAAUCCAAAUUAGCAUUAUUAUGUCAAAAGAAAAACCUGAUUUCCUCA